rnacentral:rRNA from 1 species
GUGAGGAAUAUUGCGCAAUGGAGGCAACUCUGACGCAGCCAUGCCGCGUGCAGGAAGAAGGCGCUACGCGUUGUAAACUGCUUUUAACCGGGAAGAAACCCCAGGACGUGUCCUGGGUUGACGGUACCGGAGGAAUAAGCACCGGCUAACUUCGUGCCAGCAGCCGCGAUAAUACGAAGGGUGCAAGCGUUAUCCGGAUUCAUUGGGUUUAAAGGGUGCGUAGGCGGAGCGUUAAGUCAGUGGUGAAAUCCUGCAGCUUAACUGUAGACUUGCCAUUGAUACUGGCGCUCUUGAGUGCGCUUGAAGUGGGCGGAAUGUGCCGUGUAGCGGUGAAAUGCUUAGAUAUGGCACAGAACACCAAUUGCGAAGGCAGCUCACUAAGGCGAUACUGACGCUGAGGCACGAAAGCGUGGGGAUCGAACAGGAUUAGAAACCCUUGUAGUCC